rnacentral:tRNA from 1 species
UGAUACGCUCGGCGGUGGCGAAGGAUCUGACACCCUUGAUGGGGGUGACGGUAACGACGUUCUUCAGUUCGAAGCCGACCGUAUUGGCCA